CCCCCACGUCGGAACCGCCCGGGGUCCUUCCGUGAGCUUUGAUAUGAUUGGCCGGCGAAAAGCAUCCUUCUUUUUCUCCCUGGUUGCUUGAAGGCCAGCCGCCAUCAUGAACGACACAGUCACUAUCCGGACCAGGAAGUUCAUGACCAACCGACUACUUCAGCGGAAACAAAUGGUCAUUGAUGUCCUUCACCCUGGGAAGGCAACGGUACCUAAGACAGAAAUUCGGGAAAAACUAGCCAAAAUGUACAAGACUACACCAGAUGUCAUCUUUGUCUUUGGAUUCAGAACCCAUUUUGGUGGUGGCAAGACAACCGGCUUUGGCAUGAUUUAUGAUUCCUUGGAUUAUGCAAAGAAAAAUGAGCCCAAACACAGGCUUGCAAGACACGGCUUGUAUGAGAAGAAAAAGACCUCAAGAAAACAGAGAAAAGAACGCAAGAACAGAAUGAAGAAAGUUAGGGGAACUGCAAAGGCCAAUGUUGGUGCUGGCAAAAAGAAGGUAACCUGUUCUGAGAAGCCACGUAAUGUAGUAUCAUAAGACCUCCGUAGAGUAGCUUUGCCUACCCCUUGUCGGCUCACAGAUGAUAGCAUACAUGGGGCCACAUUGGUUCAGUGAUCCUGUUGGGUACCUUUCAAACCUAUGAGGAAAAGUUUUCAUUUUACUGCUAAUUGGCAAAGUUUGUUAAAGGGGAGCAGAUUUAGGUUCCCAAGAUUUAUUUUCUUAAAAUUGACAACUGGUUUAAGAAGCAGUUGAAUCAAUGUGGCCCUUGUUUUCCUGGCAUGCUGGAGAGGCAGCAGUGUUCUGCGUUGCUUUUCUCCAGUUAGUUAGGACCUAAGUGAUUUUAAUGAUCAGCUUUUUACCAGCUUUGCUAGCUAAUUGUAAGUAGUUGAAUGGAAUUAAGGUGUUGGGUUGUUAAAUUAACAAAUAAUCAAGUGUUCUGUGAACUUUUUUUUUUUUUUUUGCCUUUUCCCUCUACUUUCUUGGAAUUCUUGUUCAUCAGAAAUGAAGUGUCUAGCAGGUACUGAGAUUUUGAGCACGGUGUGGGGAUGCAUCACCUUCACAGAGUUUGCUUUGAUGCUUUGCAUGUUGGCUUUCAAAAGACAAUUACGUAGUGUGGUCUAUUAGAAAACCACUGCUAUGGUUCAAGAUAAUACAGUAUGAGCAAAGGAGAACAACUUUUAAUUAGUUUGUGAAACUCAAUGCAUGUUAAAUUGUGAAGUACCCCAGUGGAGGAAGGUGGGUACCCUACUCACUAGAUCCCUCUAAACAGCACUUGGGCAAUGCUGUGUUCCCGAGCGUCACAUACCCAAGACAUGGCUUUAGCUAACACAGGGCUUGGGAACUUCUCUAGUCCAGUCAUGAGCAGUCAUGGGACUGGUUGAUUCUCUGGCAGCUCUGGCGAGAAACUGGUCCAGAAAAUCUGGCAAUGUCUCUGUCCUGGGAGCACUCAACCAAAGCCGCCAUUUACCAUAUCCUUUACUGUUUCAUAGCUAUUUUUUUUUAAAAAAUAACAACUUUUUCUUUCCCUUUCUUUUUUUGGCUGUCCUGUGGCACUCGUAGUUCCUGGGCCAGGGAUCAGAUAGGAGCUGCAGUUGCCACCUAACCUCAGCUGCAGCAACCCUGGAUCCUUAACACACUGUGCCUGUGUCCCAGUGCUCCCAAGAUGCUGCCAAUCUCAUUGCACCACAGCAGAAACUCCUUCAUUGCUUUUUUGGUUACUCGAUCUCCAUUUCCAUCUGAUGCCCCCUUUUUUUCCCACUUGAAAAAUUUUCAAGAUAAUUGUAUAUUCACAUCAAAGACUUUUGAUAAAUACACUUUUCCCACAAGUAAUUAAACUUUUCGCAUAGUUGAGCAGCCUGAACCAGUAACAUGUAAAGUGGGCUGAGAGUGUGACUGGGGCUAGUAGGGUUUUGAAAGAGUGGUAGCACUGCCCUUGUGUGCUCCCUUUCACCCUGACUCCUUGCCAGGCCAGGCAGUAACCCUGGUGUGUUUGCCACAAGCUCUAAUCACAUUGACCUCCCAAUGCCGUGAAGUUAGUGUAAUGGACGGACUGCCAGAGGGACUACUUGCUGCUUAGAAUCGCUCCCUGUUUGUGAGUCUUAGAAACCUGUUAAGAGAAGUUCCAGUCAAUGUUUGUGUUCUGAUGUAAAUCUGAGGAACAUUUUAACGCAUUCUUUUCUUCAUUCAGCUUUUGAGUCCCAUGGGUUAGUGGUGACAUGUGCAAAGGGUUAGCUGUGGAGAUCUGAGCUAUUACUACUUCUGCAAGUUGUAUUAGUGCAUAUCACUAGCACUGCUCUGAAAGGCUGGAAAAUGAAUGCAUAAAUGAACUGAUGCAUUUUUUGGCUCAAAAAAAGUCAGGCAUAGUAAUAUUCCUUUUAAUAUUCCUUUCAGUUCUUGUUCAGGUGUUGGAAUUUUGCCUUUUGGAUGCAGUAGAGUUCUAAAUUAAGGAAUAGUCUCAUGUUGGAAGAGCAAUUGAAGCAUUUUUGCAUUAGCUAAGUUCUGCCUCUUUCAGUACUAAUUCAUGCUACUUUUGUCUUCUACUGUGAACGGUAGCUUUUAAACUGAAUUGAGACAAGUUUUUAAAAGACAUGUUCAUUUAGAGGUCUCCCUUUGUGGUUAAAUUAGACUUUAGGAUGAUUCUCACUCAGGUCUGUUGAUGGUGCUAGUGCACCCAGCAUGAUAUUGCUGAGCAGAGCCGAGGGGCUGAAGCUCCUCCAUGUAUAAGUAGGCAAUAGCAGCCUUCUAAGAACCACAGUAAUCAGGCAAAAUGUUCUCAAAAUUGGGAGGAAUGAAAUCAAUGAGUGUAUCUAAGGAGUGCUCUUUAUACAAUUGCAAAGAACAAAACAAUCAUCACUAAGGUAUCUGAUUGCAUGCAGAUUAUUUAGGAGUUUGAAAAGGGACUAUUAAUGAAAUGUUUCUUUUCCCUCUUCCUCCUUUCUCCCUUCCCUGCCACUGAUUCAGUGAGCUGGAGAUUGGACAACAGAAGGAGUAAAGAUUCUGCAGUGACUGUGUCUGUGGUGAUUGUGCAAAAUUUUCAUGAGGGGCCCAAUAAACUAAGAACUUUUACAUGU